rnacentral:ncRNA from 2 species
CGUGCCGAGGAGCGCUGCGACGGACUUUCCGCCAGGCUCGGCACGGGCGUUGUUUCAACGGCGCUCGUUGACU